AUGUCCUGGAUCCCCAGUAGUGGUGGUGGCGGGCCCUUUACCUGUCCUGGCCUCUUGGACCUCAUCUUAAUGGAUCUGCCAGAACGGACCACCCCUGCUGGAGACGGAUAUAAGAGAGUUCUGCCAGUCUCCCCCAAUGUAUAUGUGUGUGUCCAGUCUCAGCAACUUGUCCAGUCAUCAGACCCAGUGGUGAUAAAGCCCGGGAAUUCCUAUAGAGUCUCAUGUACGGCUUCUGGAUUCCCCUUCAGUAGCUUCUAUAUGAGCUGGGUUAGACAGAAUCCUAGCGGAGGAUUACAGUGGGUUGCUCGGGUUAGUAGCGAUGGAGGCAGCACAUGGUAUCAUGAUUCUGUUAAAGGACGAGUCACAAUCUCCAGAGAUAACAGUAAUAACCUGUUAUAUCUACAAAUGACCAACAUGAAGACUGAGGACUCUGCCGUGUAUUACUGUGCUAGAGACACACUGAUAGAAGACAAUGUCUGAGUGUAACAAAAACUGAUACACAGUUAUCUCACUGGCCACUAGGCCACUAGACAUGUCAUUUUUUGAAAAAGAAAACACGCAAAAAAUUUUG